GUGCUCACUUCGGCAGCACAUAUACUAAAAUUGGAAUGAUACAGAGAAAAUUAGCAUGUCCCCUGUGCAAGAAUGAUAUGCAAGUUUGUGAAGCAUUCCAUAUUUUA